rnacentral:tmRNA from 1 species
GGGGCCGACCGGUUUCGACAGGAUGAGUGAUUACGUGUGUAAGCAUGCAGGCUCGUGAGGUGAGAGCCUUGAAAGAUAAUCUCACAAUUUACUUGGCGAAAAUCAAUACGCCAUGGCUGCCUAAUCUUAACUAAUUGUUGAGAUAGCAGGCUUAAAAGGUUAACCAGUUAGACUGGUUCCUGGCCACACUCUCCAAAACCUUUGUAUUGUAGGUUUUGAUCUGGAGUGUCGAUAAACAGUACUAGCGCUGGCAGGGUUGUGAUGUCCGUGUGAAAUUUAUCGCAACUAAGAUAAAGUUUGGUCGCUAUCUACCUGGCUUUAUUCGAAAACCUAAAGCAUAGCUAAGCAUGUAGAAGAUACGAUAGUUGCCUUCUCUGGACGAGAGUUCGAAUCUCUCCGGCUCCACUU